CCUACGGGAGGCAGCAGUAAGGAAUAUUGGUCAAUGGAGGGAACUCUGAACCAGCCAUGCCGCGUGCAGGACGACUGCCUAUGGGUUGUAAACUGCUUUUGUCGAGGAAUAUGUACUCGAAGAAUAAGGAUCGGCUAACUCCGUGCCAGCAGCCGCGGUAAUACGGAGGAUCCAAGCGUUAUCCGGAUUUAUUGGGUUUAAAGGGUGCGUAGGCGGCCUAUUAAGUCAGGAGUGAAAGACGGCAGCUUAACUGUCGCAGUGCUUUUGAUACUGAUAGGCUUGAAUGUCGCUGAAGAUGGCGGAAUGAGACAAGUAGCGGUGAAAUGCAUAGAUAUGUCUCAGAACACCGAUUGCGAAGGCAGCUAUCUAAGAUUAUUGACGCUGAUGCACGAAAGCGUGGGGAUCAAACAGGAUUAGAUACCCUUGUAGUC
rnacentral:rRNA from 1 species